UACAGAGGGUGCAAGCGUUAAUCGGAAUUACUGGGCGUAAAGCGUGCGCAGGCGGUUCGUUGUGUCUGAUGUGAAAGCCCCGGGCUCAACCUGGGAAUGGCAUUGGAAACUGGCGAGCUAGAGUGUGGCAGAGGGGGGUGGAAUUCCGCGUGUAGCAGUGAAAUGCGUAGAGAUGCGGAGGAACACCGAUGGCGAAGGCAGCCCCCUGGGCCAACACUGACGCUCAGGCACGAAAGCGUGGGGAGCAAACAGG
rnacentral:rRNA from 1 species